AUGAAGAUGGAGACCAAACUCAUGGUUGCUAUGGGGUCUCUGCAGCUACGACUGCCACCCAGUCUGUCUGCAUCAGGGCUGCAGGACCUUCUGGUGGAGGAAACAAUGAAAACAAGGCUGAAGAGAGCGGCGUGUUUAGAGCAGGAGGUUUUUGUACAGCCAGUAAACCAGUUUGUGUCACUGUGGUGGACUUUUGGUGGAGGAACCAAACUGUCAGUUGGAAGUGUGGCCGCGCCCACCCUCACGGUCCUGCCCCCCUCCAGCGUGGAGCUGCAGCAGGGGAAGGCCACACUCGUGUGUUUGGCCAACAAGGGCUUCCCCUCAGACUGGAGGCUGAGCUGGAAGGUGGACGGGAGCAGCUGGAGCUCGGGGGUUAGCCAGAGCCCCGGGCUUCUGCAGAAGGACGACGGCCUCUACAGCUGGAGCAGCACCCUGACCCUCCAGGAGGACCAGUGGCUAAAGAAGACAGUGACCUGUGAGGCCACCAAAGACUCCCAGACUCCUGUCAGCCAAACCCUGAGGAGAGAGCAAUGCACUGGGCAGUGAGCGUCCACGCGUGUGUUGGAGCUGCUAGAGCUCCUCUUGCUCUUCAGUGAGCUCAAACAUGGCUCUGCUUAAUGCUGUGAUCUUCAUCUCAUCACUUCAUCAUCACAAUAAAGAGUUUCAGUAUUAA